AGAACGAACGCUGGCGGCGUGCUUAACACAUGCAAGUCAAGGGGGCCCAGCAAUGGGCAACCGGCGAACGGGUGCGUAACACGUGAGCAACCUACCGAAAUGUGGGGGAUAGCCGGCCUAACGGCCGAGUAAUACCGCAUACGCUCUCGAUGAGGCAUUUCACUGAGAGGAAACCUACGGGACAUUUCGAGGGGCUCGCGGCCUAUCAGCUAGUUGGCGAGGUAACGGCUCACCAAGGCGACGACGGGUAGC
rnacentral:rRNA from 1 species